ACCCACAAAUAUAUGAUCAACUAAUCUUUAGCAAAGCAGGAAAUAAUGGAAUAAAGACAGUCUCUUCAACAAAUAGUGUUAGGAAAAUUGAACAGCAAAAUGCAAAAGAAUGAAACUGGACCAUUUUGUUACACUAUACACAAAAAUAAAUUCAAAAUGGAUUAAAUAUGUAAAUGUGAGACCUGAAACCAUAAA